rnacentral:lncRNA from 1 species
UUUGACUUAGGAGAGAAAUGAGCUCAGCUGAUCCACCAUCUGUUACUAGGUUGGGAAUUGGAAAACACCGGACUUGGAUCACCGUCUUCAAUUGGAACAAGCAUACAUUGGAAGACUUUCUAAGACCUUUUGCUCAAGGGCAAACCUUAUUCUCAGAUUGGAUCAAGUUGAGAAGCCCAUGAAGUAUUGUCACCAAGCAUACAGGAGGAAAAAACAGUGAUUUUAUUUGCUGUUAUUGAAUGCCCUGAAUUUAAUUAAGGGCUCUGCUGACAGUCUUCUCUCCUGCUCCACUUGUCACACUGGGGGCUGCUGCUGUUACUCUGGGUGUGCCACACCAUACAGGGUGCCUCUGCUGCUCUGCAUUGCCUCUUUGGCCUUGUCGGAUGCCACAGACCAUGUCUGGUGUCUACUGCUGGUCUGCUAGAACCUCACCAGACUCCCUGGCCACACAUACAGUCUAAAUCCCAUUGUGAUGUUCUGUGCUGCCAAGUAUUGUGCUUUGGGAUCAAAGUGUUGAGAAGGACAGUGACUCUUUCAAAUGUCAUUCCAUUGGGGUCAACUCUAGUGAUUUCUCACUGUAUUUGACAGUUUAGUGCAAGAGCUCUCUCAGUUUUUAGAGUCAUACGUUUCCCUGUACACAUUCAUAGAGCUGGGGAGAGUGAGCAAUAGCCAAGACAUUGCUGAAAUCACAAUGUGGAACUCCUCAAGGCUAUGCAUGUACAUUAUUGCAAAGAAUAAGGCUUUGUUCCUCAUCCAUCCUCUGGUAGUCACAGCUUUAUUUUAAUUAGAGCUGUUUCCAUAAAGCUAGCAUAGAGAUAUGUGUCUGUCUACAGGACGAGUUCGUGAGAUGUGCCCAAAGCAAUGGUAAAUAAGGCUUGAGUUUUCUAGGAGGCAAUUCAGUCCUUCUGCAAAUAGAUCCUCACCUCUGCUGCUACAUUUGGUAUGCACUUUUACCUUGGCAUGCACCACGGUGCCCUGUGAUUAUUAAUUUACUUCCAUGUCUUGGUCUUCAUGUCUCUCUGUAGAUCUUUAAGGGCAGGGACAAUACAUUAUUCAACUUUAUUUAAAAAUUCUAACAUCUAUCCUAGUGUUAGAUACUGAGCAAACAUGCAGCAAAUGUGUCCUGUAUAAAUGAAACAAGUCAUAUUCCAAUUUUUUUGUUUUCCUCCUGGUUUUACUUAAUGAAACUCAUUGAACUAAAAAUAUCUAAUCUUUAUAUUCCUCCAGCAAACUAUGAGACUUAGUCCAUUUUAGAUUCUUAUUAAAAUUUACUGAAUUGCCUUUUUUGGUAUUCAUAAAUGUAUGAAAGUGACUUACCAAUUAGUGAUAAUUAUUAUUAAUUGCUUAUUAAUAGAUUAUAAUUGGAGCCCAGCACAUAUUGUUACAGGCCUUAUCAUAUUUCAGGCAACACUUCGAUUUUAAAACAAACAUUAAAAAAAAUUCUUAUUUGAUGACUCUGAGGAUAGACCUCCCACCAUAAGCCUUUAUCCAUGCUAGAGUGGAAUAGACAGAUGCAUUUCAUUUACAGCGUAAGAUAAAAUUGCUCUUUGAUAUUCAGUACUCUGUGUGGGGAAAGCCUUUUUUUUCUUUUCUGAAUUCCAGUAAUUGUCUUGUUUGUAGUCCCUUGCUGCAGACCUUUGCCUCCUGCCAACUGCUUGCCAGACGUGGUCUCAAUGUUAAGAAGGGAGAGGUUCCCAGAGAGCAUAAGAUAUAUAUUGAAAUCAAACAUUUUUCUAAAACUAUUGUUUUCCAAUUUCCACUAAAUCAUACCUUUUGUGACCCUUCUUACUCAGUGGAUUUCAAAACACUUAGCAAAAGAAUAACUAAAAUAAAAAGUCAUUACUCACAGAUGCUUUGCACACCUGAAGGGUAAAGUUGGUUUUUCUUUUGUGUGUUAUUUAUACCAAUGACACACCAUUUCUUUAUUAUUUUUGAGUUUCAUUCUUUAGGUUAACUGGCUCCACUUUGAUUUCUGCUGCUCAGCUAUGACACAACAAUUGAAUUUAAGUAUCAGCCUAUUACUUACUCUGUAUGUUUCAAAAUUCAAGGUCAGAAUAAAAAAUUAGAAAACAAAUG